AGUGAACGCUGGCGGUAGGCCUAACACAUGCAAGUCGAACGGCAGCACAGUAAGAGCUUGCUCUUACGGGUGGCGAGUGGCGGACGGGUGAGGAGUACAUCGGAAUCUACUUUUUCGUGGGGGAUAACGUAGGGAAACUUACGCUAAUACCGCAUACGACCUACGCGUGAAAGCAGGGGAUCUUCGGACCUUGCGCGAUUGAAUGAGCCGAUGUCGGAUUAGCUAGUUGGCGGGGUAAAGGCCCACCAAGGCGACGAUCCGUAGCUGGUCUGAGAGGAUGAUCAGCCACACUGGAACUGAGACACGGUCCAGACUCCUACGGGAGGCAGCAGUGGGGAAUAUUGGACAAUGGGCGCAAGCCUGAUCCAGCCAUACCGCGUGGGUGAAGAAGGCCUUCGGGUUGUAAAGCCCUUUUGUUGGGAAAGAAAAGCAGCAGGUUAAUACCCCGCUGUUCUGACGGUACCCAAAGAAUAAGCACCGGCUAACUUCGUG
rnacentral:rRNA from 1 species